ACUCACGAAUCUACAUGUCUUUUGAUUGGUGCUGACAAAUAUGUCGAAUUAGGAAGCUGGUAAGAUUCAGGGUAUAUCGUAUGGGAAUAUGUUCAUACCUCGAUCGGACAAAUCUUACUCGUCGGCGAUCGCCAAGGAGCAGCCGUCUUCUUGUCCGGCGUCGGCUGGUCUGGCAACGUCCGCGCCGCAUUCCUUCGCUCCGACGAUGCUGUCUACGGUGACCUCGACGCUGUCUUUCCUCGUCCUCUCCUUGCUCCUCUCCGCGCCCGUCAUCGCCGCCAUCAGGGCCGUCUGAGGGCUCGCCAAGGAGCAAUAACCGGCGAAUCACCUCGCUCUAAAGAUUGGUAAAAGCAUCAUCUUUAAGGUUAUUGCGGUCUCUGAUCUCAAGAUCAGGUUUUCUUGUUAUUCUUUGAUUAUAUUGCUUCUCUUCCUAAUUCUUAUUUGCUUUCUCUUUCUUUUUUGGAAGAGUUCCGAAUAAGUAAUCUGAAUUGAGUUCGCCUAGUAUUGCAAUAUAGAGCUGUCUAAUUGGGAUGUGAAAUCUUCUGCUGCAAUGAUUGCAUUGUCUCCUGAAAAAUGAUACUUGUUCCAUUUUGGAUUGUUGUUUUCUAUUUCAGCAGAAAGAAGUGCAGAUUAUAAUGUUAGAAUUUCUUCUCUCCAGAUUAUAAUGUUGAUUAGAAAGAAGAGUUUAUGUAAUUUUGUGAUGUAUCUUCCACAACCUAGAUUGAAUGCCUAGAUCUGCAUUGCUAUGGUUCUUUUCUUCUUAUGCUGUGUGUUUCAUUGAUACAUCUGAAACAUGGCUCUGUAAUGGAUGAUGAACAAAUAAGUCGUUAUACUUGUAAUCUUUGUCAAAAUCAUCAUUGGAUUAUCUAGUUGAUGUAGUACAUCCAAGAAAUUUUAGAGGUCACAUUUCUUUUCCCAUUUGGGCAGUUCAUGAGACUGAGGAUUGUGUUGGUCUCAUACCCCCUGGGAAGUAUGAAUGGCACACUGCACGGCCUGCUACAAUGUGGAGCCCUGUUGAAUGAACCCACAAUUUUGUUUUAGAAAGAAUGGAAUGGAUAUAAUUGAUGAUUUCAAAGUACUUAAUAGCAUUAUUAUUUGACACAAGUUUAUCUUUGAUUCUUUCGCCCUCAUAGUUUUUAAAACUGUUCAUGUUACAUAUACUACAGAUGAUCAAAUCAUUAGUGGUUUGUUUACCAAACAUCCGAUAGAAAAUGAGCUGUGAGUUCAUCCUAUUUUUGUGGGAAAAAUUGGAGUCAAGAUGAUAUUUUGCAUAUGCAGUAAAAUCUGAUAUUUUUAUUAUUCAUUGGUUUUCUGCAAGAAUAAAAUGUUGUUUAUCCCUCCUAGAUUGUAACUUGAUGAUGCUUUGGGUGCUAAUUCCCUCUACUACAAACAUAAUUAUAUGCUCUGUAGAAGCUCUAUAUUCACAUGCAAUUUUUGUACUUUGUUUAUUGUAGACCAAACAUGCAUUGGCAUAUUCAUUAGAAUUCUUUAUACUUCUGUGCUUUGCUUAGUUGGGGAAGUUAGGCACAACCCACCAAGGAAGCAAAAAAGGUCAGUCCGGAGACUAUAGUUGGGGGAUAGGAGAUGACUUAGACCACGGAGUCAAAUAAGAUGGACCAAAUCCACUUGAUGACUUAGAGAUCAGAAGAAGGUGUUUCAGCUUCAGGAAAAAAACAACCUAACUUCAUGGGUCUCCAUCAGAGCAAAGAAAAGAAUGGAAAAGGGAGAAAGGAAGUAAGUUCAACUUUGCUCACUUUACAUUCCAUCAUUCAUUUUAAUGUAAUUAGUUGCAAGAAAAAAAGUUUCUUUAUACCACUGUGCUUUGCUUAGUUGGGGAAGGAUUUUUUUCUUAUGCAAUUGCUCCUGCUUAAUUUAUGUUCAUAUUUGUAUUGUGUAAAAACUGUGUUCUACUACCAACAAUUCUUGGUGUAUCUUAUGACUUUAUGCUAGCAGCAAGAUGAACUUGAACUCCAUAGAGGCAGAUGAUCUUGUAUCUAACUAAAGGCUCUCAAGUAGUAAGCCAUGAUUGAUGAGAGAUGGGUCCCAGAAAAGCAAAUAAGGUAGUGCAACACUAAAUAGAUUCUCAAGAUUGAGCAAACUGAUGAAUGGUUUCAAUUCAACCAGCUGUUUUUCUAACAUGGCCUAAUGCUUCAGAUUCUUGCAUUUAAAUUCAGAUAUCAAUUCAGCUUUGAUUUGAAAUAGAGAACUUUCCUUCCCCACCCCACAACCAAAAAGAAAUUAUUCACCAGAUUGCUGAAGUAACUUCGAUGUAAAGAAUACAUUCUGAGGUGAUGUGAACCUAUGGCUCUCAAUCUUAGAAAACUUCAUAUAGUCAGGUUUCUCAGGCAUUCCCUGCAGAAAUCUUUGUCAGAUCACAGUUGUAUGAUGUCUUGCAAGGAAUGUAGCAGGUGUGAUUUCUGCAUCAAAGGUUUGCGGUGACAUAAAAAAAUUGGUGAGAGACAUGGACAAGAUACCCUCUUGGAUUCAGCCCCUUCUCUCUUGCUUUCAAUGAAAGAAAAGGGCAUAGUUGACAUCAGAAUAUGGAACUACUAGCAUUGUGAGAACAGUUAAUGAAUCCUAAUUGAGAACUCUUAUUUUUCCCAUGCUUGGGAGGGGAGGCCAGGGAAGAGGGCUGUAAAGAUGCUCCUAUUUCCAUGGUGUAUCAGGCAACAUCAGAACUGUCAAAAUCCAUCAUUAAGGUUGUAUGACAGAGGGAUACCAUCCUUCACUCCCUGCUCAUAAAGUUCUAUUAUUAUAACAUAUUAUCCUCUGUUAUUAGAAUGAAGAAAAAUGUUAUUAUAAUUAUUCAUGUUUGAUGAUAAUUAAUCACAAUGAUAGUUUUUAUAACUGUUGAUAGUUAAUUUAUCAAGGAUAGCAGAAACAUAUUAUUUUUUUCGAUAAAUGAUGAGGGAAGAAGAUUGAGUUUAUUUAUUGUUUUGUUUGUAAUCAGACAGGAAAAAUACCUGAGUUGGCACCAAUGCACAGCUACUGGUCAAGUGAAAGUUCCAUGUCUGAUAGAAUUCUAUCUGAAGCAACUACUGGUCAAACUAAAGAAUUAUGCAUCAUAAACCUACUUGAAAGCAGUAAGUCACACCCACAUAUGAAUUAUAUUAUGAGUUAUAUAAUCAGAUUAUCAGGAAGCCAAGAAUAAAAUAUUUUAUUCAUGCUGAAGGCAUUUCCUACCUAAACAGCACUCUCUUGGUGAUAUAGAUGCCACCUCUAUAUAGUAAUGUCUGUAGUAAACUUGUAGAGUUUCUUGAAACUCACUAUCUUAUAUCUCAAUCAUUCAUUUGUUGAUCUAAAGUGGAUGAGUUGUGGUAAGGGAUGAAAUGCCAAUUGAGGCAUAACAUUUGAUUGGACAUUUACGGAUAAAGUAUUGUUUUAAUGUGGACUGUGAGAGCAAUAUCAAAUCGAGACAAAAAUAAAUAUAGAAAAAUAAUUUAAUCAAAUUAGAUGCUCUCAAUUUCCUUACUAUUACAUCAUAAAAUCGUGUGUGUAUAUAUAUAUAUAUAUAUAUAUAUAUAUAUAUAUAUAUAUAUAUAUAUAUAUAUAUAUAUAUAGUGGAAACACCAAAAUUAAAUGGAAAAAAAUAAAUGAAGGCUUUUCUACAUUUCAUUAAUUAAUCCUUUGUUUUCUUAUGGUAGCAAUUGAGCUGAUGCCACAGCAACGGGAGACAGCAAACUACGAGGUGGGGGAAGCCAAGGGGGCGGUGGCAGUCUGGUUGGCGCAGAACACGUCGGCGGGGCCGCCGCCGAUGAGGAAGUGGCCAAGGCUGCGGGUGGCCGCC
rnacentral:lncRNA from 1 species